CAGCUGUGUGGAUGAGAAGGGUUAGUCUGGGGACAGGCGUCGGAAGGACGGGAGCAGGAAAGACUCCAGGUGAUGCAGGCACGCAUAGCAUGGCGGGCCUGUAAUCUCAGGGAAUGUUCCACAGCUGCUUCGUCGUCUCAAGCACAGACCCCUCUCGAGUCCUCCACCUCCUCAUCUUCUCUGUGCCAAUCACCAGCUGGGAACUUUCAGUCCCCUAGGAACUGAGCUCCGCUGUAAAGCACCGCUUUCAAUGGAGAGAAAUGCUGUUCAUCUCUUAUGAUAUAUCCUGUUUGAAGCUUCCAAAUAUUGCUUUUUUAUUUUGAUUUUUAAAAACAGAACUACUCCAAAGGGUAGUGAGCACUGGGAAGCUGAGGCUGUGGUCUAAAUUCCCCCUGAAAGUCGUAACCACGGUGAGAUUUUGUCUGUGUAUCAAUCAUACCGUGUCCAUCCUCGUUCUCUGUUCCCGUCACUCCAAGUGUGAGAAGAGACGGAGGACUGCGACAAAGGAGAAGUUCCAGGACUCUGCCUUCUGUUUCUCCUUUUUCUUUUCCAGAGUAAAAUCACCUUGAAAUUACUGGCUACACUUGGAGCCUCUCUUUGUUGCCACAGCUGAAGUCAGAGCAAACCUACAACCUUGACAAACCCAGAGGAAGAAGUCCUCUGCGCAGACACUAAAGUGGUGGUUCCCAUGACCCAGUGAAGUACGAAUACAAGGAAUUCAAAAUCCUUAAGGGGCCCCCCUCAAUGUGUAAUGUACCGUGCUAGCAGCAAACGCUGAAGAAUUUUUCCUCAAGUUUAGGGACACGGAGUUUGCGUUCUGUCAGAGUAACAGUCUGCAUUGAAGCGGAGGUCUCUCAUGAGGCUGCAGUCAAGAUGUCGGCCAGGGCUGCGGUCAUGGGAAGGCGUCACUGGGGCUGGAGGAUCCGUUUCCAGGACGGCUCACUCAUCCAGAUGGAAACGUGAUGCUGGCUGUUGUGAGGAGGCCUCGUUCCUCUCCACACGUCCUUCUCCACAGGCCUGCUUGAGUGUCCUCCUGACAUGGCGUCAGCUCUCCCAGAGCAAGUGAUUCUAGAGAAAGCAAGGCAGAAGCCUCAAUAAUUUUAAUGACCUAGUCUCUUAAGUCACACUCUGUCAUUUCUCUGAUAUCCUACUGGUCCCAUAGUCAGCCCUUUUCAGUGUGAGAGAGGACUAUGCACAGGUGUGGAUACCAGGAGGCGAGAGUCAUUGGGGCCACGUUGGAGGUUGGCUAUCGCAAAGAGCUCCCAUCCACUGAGAGCUGACUUGCUAGGCAGCUGGUCAAGCACUUUACACACAAUUACCCUCCAGGAUUAUUGUUUUCUUACUAUCCCCAUUUUACAGAUGAGGAAACUGAGGCUUGAAGAGGGUAAAUGACUUUCCCAAAGUUUUCCCAUGCCCAGCUUGCCCUUGGUUUGCACCUCGAAGGAUCGGCCUUCGAAGGAAAAGCCUUGCUUUUCAUUGAGCACACAAGCCUUGAGUACCCACUAUGAGGCGGGCACUGUGUUAGGAUCUGGGAAUCCAAGUAUGGCAAGACCCAGGUCCUGAGGCACGUGAAAGAGUUAUAGGUACAAAGAUAGCGCUGGAUUUAAGGGACAGUGGGGCUCACCCAAGAGAGUAAUCAGCUCCCUGUGGGAAGGCAUGGGUCAGGAAGCCUUCUUGUGGGCUGAUGCUUGAGGUAAGUCUUACAAAGGGUCAGGCGCAUUCUCAACUAUGAAUGCACCACCGCCUUCAGGCCUGGCGACGAGAGUGGGGAGUUCCUCUGAUUCCUACAGAGGUGACCGUCUUCACCUCUCAGCUUCUGGACUGUGUGACGCCAGGUGACGCUUUACAAUAUGGCCCCUUGGGUGGAACCACGGCAUCUAGAAUCAGGAGACUCAGGUUUUACACCUUGUCUUUCCACAAACCCCCUGGGAGACCUCAGGCAAAUUCUUAGCAUCCAUAUGUCUUGGUUCUAGCUUCUGUUAAAUGGGGAGAAAGCAAUCUUGCCUCAUAUCACGGGGGAGGGGAGUGGUUGUGAGGAUCGAAUGAGACAAAAGAUGUAAAAUGCUCCGAAAAGAUGGAAGCUCUGCUUUCAAAAUGAUCUGAAGUCACGAGCUGGAUCUUCCACAGCGUUUCUUACCUUUGCCCCCCACCUUCCUUCAUGCUGCAGACACGGAGGGGCUUCAUUUUUGCCUCGUUUCACAGCUUACAGUCAGCCAAGGGGGAAAGAAUCAACAGCUCCUGAGGAUGUUUGGUGCAGCAGGCUACCACCGAAAAAGCUUAGAGACUCUCCCGUUGUCCGUCUGAAGUUGCGCUGCUGAAAAGGUUGGCUGACGGGGCAAAGAGGAAGAUCAUGUUUGAUUGUGAUGUUGCGCUCCGAGCAGCUCUCUCAGCACAAGCAUCAGGCGGAUGGCACCUUCUGGUCCUCACUGUCACCAUGCAUCUCAUCCUUGGAGAAGUCAAGCACUCUCCUCUGAUGCGAUGAGCCUGUGGUUCACUAUCACCAUUGCAUGAGCGAAUGAGCAAUCCUUUUCCUGUGAAUGGCCCUUUCAUGUAUGUCAACCACAGCCUGCAGUUCCCUACAAAAGGGAAGAACGUUGGGCAUUCCUACCCAGAACUGGAUGCUCUGGGGUCGGUUUCUAGACAGAGGUCACCCCUACUUUCCCAGACAUAGCCUGGCCCCAUCAUCAUCACACAGACUGGAUACUUCGGGUGAUACUAAAAUGCCCCAAUGAUGCUGAUUGUUUCCUACACAGAUGACUCUCGUGGUAUUACUCAUAUGAAUAAUAACACAGGCUAUUGAGCUCUCUUAGAAUGGAGUCACUUUUUUUCUGUUAUGCUCUGUUCCUUCUCUGCCUGGAGCCUUAGGGAGCGACCCCCAUGUUGCUUUAGACUGUCCUCUAUUGCUUGGAUGAGGCCUUUUCACCUGCACCAGAGGCUCAGAUUGGUACCGUGGGAUGACCUCAGAUACCCCUCAAAGUGUGCUGGCAAACCUGCUCCAAUAUACCCCGAAUUCUGAAAACAUUUUCUCUCUUCUGCCCAAGGAGACUCAACCGAUUCUGGGGUGAAAUUUGGUAACCCUGGUUUGGGAAGUGAAGAUUACCUUGUCUUUUUGUGGAAAGUGAAAGAGGAAUUGAGGCAAGGAAGCUAGUGCUCUUCAUGCAGUUCCAGAAUCUCCACUUUCUCCUCGCCCUGGAGCACUCCAAUCGCCACGCCAGGAGUGGUCAGGGCCCCGUGGCCUGGGGCAUUUUUAAAAUAUCUCUCUAAAUGCUUUACUGUUGUUAGAAGAAGAUAUUCAAGUAUUGAAAGCUCAUCAUAUUCUUCAGGAACGACUUUUUUGUUUGUUUUUUUAAAUUAACAUAUAGUAAAAUUAAGGUUUUUUUGGUGUGCAAUUUUAUGAGUUUUCAUGCACGUCCAGAUUCCUGUAGCCCCCGCCACAAUCAGGACGCAGAGCAGUGCCAUCACCCGUGCUGUCUCUGCAGCACACUCUCCCCUUCCUGCCCCCUACAACCACUCACCUGCUCCCGCUCCAGUCUUGCCUUUUCCAGAAAGUCACGUAAAUGGACCCAGGCAGUAUUUAACCUUUCGAGCCUGUCCUCUUUCCCCCAGCAUCCUGCCUUUGAGAUUUGCCCACGUUGUCAUGUUUGUCAAUAGCUUCUUCUCCUUUAUUGCUGAGUAGGAUUUUAUUGUCCUGGUGCAAACAUAACUUAGCAUUUUCAGUGUAGCGCAGACCUAUGAGCGCUGCAAAGAAAUGGCACUUGGGUCACUAAGCGAAGAAGCAGCCAAGGUUUGUUCUUCAAAUUCCGUGGUUACUUGUCAUAAUCAUGUUGGGUGGUCAUCUGGAGAUGAAAGGAACAGGCAGCUUGUAUUCUAGAGCAAAAUAAGCCCAGAGAAAGCAGAGGCCCGAGCCCCUCAGGCUUUACAAAGCCUCUUCUGUGCAGCGUUGACAGGCUAGUAACGUAUUUCUUCUUCUAGUUACCCAGUGUGUGUUACCGGCACUAACCCAUGCAGUGGCCUCAAGGGGACAUUUGGCCAUGUCUAGAGAUGUUUUUGAUUAUAACACUGGGGAAGGGCUCCUGGCAUCUAGUGAGUAGCCAGGGAUGCUGCUAAACAUCCUACAAUGCACAGGACUGCCCCGACGACGCAGAAUUAUGUGGCCCAAAUGUCAAUAGCACAGAGGUUGAGAAAUCUUGAUCUAAUGUAUCCCAGAUACUCUUUAAAAAAAAAGUCUUUCAUGUGUUUUGAGUUGGACUGAAAAUCUCAGCAGAAAAGGGGCAUAUCCUUUUUGUGAAGGAUCAUUAUUUUCCUCCAAAUAUUGAGUGACAACCAAGGGAGUAAGAGUCAGAAAGAUGAGGACAGUGACUAUUCAAACCCAUGAAGAACUGUGCAAAUCCCCAUCAAACAGCCCUCCUACACCGAGCAGCGUGUGGCCGCCCCAGACAAUCGUGGUCGCCCACAUCCGGACCGUGCACGCUCUGCUUGCAGCCUGCAACGCCCUUCAUGCUUCUCCUACCUGGAGAACGCAGCCGUGGGGGCCACCACCUUUGGGUGCCGUGGUCAGGAAUCGCUCCUUAUGGCUCCCAUACCACCUGGCACUUACCUGUAAUGUGACAUUCUUCACAGUGCCUUGGAAUUUGCUGGUCUCUCAUCAUGUUGUGUCCUCUGCACAGAGUCCCAAGCCUGGCAGUUGGCACUCAAUAAUUUUAAAUUAAGAAAAGCAUUUUCUAGAUAUAUUUGGAUACUCAUUCAUUCGUUUGUUCAACCAUUUAGUAAAUAUUUACCAAGUACCUACUAAAUGCCAGGCAAUAGUCCGAGUGCUGGGGACACAGGAGAGACACAAGGCCCUGUCCUCACCAGGCUCGCACGCUACAGCAAGUGUGGCUAGCUUUCUUCUGUAAGGGGCCAGAUAAUAAGGAUUUUUGGCUUCGCAGGCCAUGUGGUCUCUAUUGCAACUACUCGUCUCUACAGCUGUCAUGUGAAAGCAGCCACAGACCACGUGGAAACGAACGAGAGCAGCUGUGUCCCAACAAAAAUUUAUUUACAAAAACAGGCAGCAAGUGUGAGGUGGCCCUCAGUCUGUAGUUUGCCAACCGUUAUUGUAGAGGGAAGCCAGAUAAUAAACAAAUAAACAUAAAAUUCAAG
ensembl:lncRNA